UUCCAUCUCCAAUAGGUUAUGUGAAGGAUAUGUCCUGACUUCUUGUUCUUCUUCCUUGUUGUUGCACAUGAUAUUCCUCUUUACCAAGGUUGAGUUGGCCUACGCUCUUGUACUCUCAUUUUGCUUCCCUUUCUUUUGUAGAUUCUGAGUCUUCUCAUUUUCUUUCUUAUCCAAUUCUGCAACAAUUUUCCCUUCCUCUCUUUCAACUGUUAACUCUGCCUCCACUACUAAAAAAUAGGAAAACCGACCACAAAAAUCGACCACAUAUGGUCGAUUUUUCUAUAUUUACGAUCAAAAAAUUGAUCAAAAUGCGAG
rnacentral:lncRNA from 1 species